rnacentral:rRNA from 1 species
UGCGCAGGCGGGUUGGCAAGUCAGAGGUGAAAUCUCACGGCUUAACUGUGAAACUGCCUUUGAUACUGCUGAUCUUGAGUAUGGAAGAGAGAGACGGAAUUCCAGGUGUAGUGGUGAAAUACGUAGAUAUCUGGAAGAACACCAGUUGCGCAGGCGGUCUCUUGGUCCAAUACUGACGCUCAGGCACGAAAGCGUGGGUAGCAAACA